UACAGAGGGGGCAAGCGUUGUUCGGAAUUACUGGGCGUAAAGGGCGCGUAGGCGGCCUGUUAAGUCGAACGUGAAAUCCCCGGGCUCAACCCGGGAACUGCGUCCGAUACUGGCAGGCUUGAAUCCGGGAGAGGGAUGCGGAAUUCCAGGUGUAGCGGUGAAAUGUGUAGUGAUCGGGAGGAACACCGGUGGCGAAGGCGGGUCUCUAGGCAAUUCCUGACGCUGAGGCGCGAAAGCGUGGGGAGCAAACGGG
rnacentral:rRNA from 1 species